ensembl:lncRNA
AGGCAGCAGGCCACCUCUCUCUGUGGAAACCAGUCUUGGAAAACGUCCUCUGAGACUAGACCAAGUACAGGAUGGCCUCGAAUGGGAUGGAUGGAAGAGCUGUGCGCUGGUUAAUAAAACUUGGUUUUCGAGCGUUUCCCUGCCCCAGGAGGGCAGUGGGCCCCAUGUCCAAUUCAUCAAGUGCCUAAUGAGUGGCCUCGGAGGUCCCGGCCCAUCCAUUCCAGGAGCUCUCUCUGCCUCGUAAAGCUCAUUUCCCUUUGCCAAGUUGUCGGGACCCUGCGAGCUCCAGGCUUGGGUGACGUCUGCCCCCAACACGGAGGGGAAGCUAGAAUCUGGGCACCAGGAACUUGAGCUAGUGAUUUUGCCAACUUCCUGGAUGUUCACUCGAGUUCUGCACAAAGAGCCACAUUUCCUUCUGGAACCAGCACCGGGACCCAGACAGAGGAGCGGACACUGGAAACUGUCCUGAGGAUCCGAGACUGUGAAUAAGAAGGCUGGACCCCUAGCAUG